GUAGAAUUAUCUGAAAUCGUUAUGAAUGUCUGUAAAUGAUUGGUAGUGUGUUUGUGGACAUGUAAUUUGAAAUGAAAAAUUGGUGCCGGGACGGGAGACGAACCCGCAAUCUUCACCUUUCCGGGGC